rnacentral:tRNA from 1 species
GCAUCUGUAGUUCAAUGGUAGAACACUAGCUUCCCAAGCUAGGUACGCGGGUUCGAUUCCCGUCAGGUGCUCCA